AAGUAGAUAAACAAAACAAAACGGAGAGGAACACUGCGUAGAUAGUGAAGAAAUGACAUCAAGUUUUCCUAAACACGAAUAAAUUCGGAGUUGCAAUCUUUUUUUACUAGUAUAUGGGUAACUUAAAGAGAUUGACGGAAAAAAACAGGCGACUUAGACAGGAGAAGUGGCAGAAAAGUUUCCAUCAACAAACUGAAGAUCUGUGUUUGGCAAUGCCUCAGCCCAGCAUUAGCGGAAUGGACCCUCUCUUUGGGGAUGCCUUUCAAAACUGCUCUUUUGCUGACCAGGCACUGACCAGCACAGACCUGUUGGCCAACAGCUCUGACCCAGACUUCAUGUAUGAACCGGACAGGGAUAUGACUUGUCGCCAGAGCCCAAGAGGAGACAAUUUCACAGUAGGGGAUUGCAAAGACUUGGACAGCAUGGAUCAUCUACCUGAGCUGGCAGAUAACGACCCAGCCUACAGCUCAAACUUUGAGCAGUGGGACACAUACUGGGAGGACUUGACCAAGUACACUCGCCUCACCAGUUGUGAUAUCUGGGGCACCAAGGAAGUAGAUUUCCUGGGCCUUGAUGAUUUCUCCAGCCCUUAUCAGGAUGAGGAGGUGAUAGGACGGACCCCCACCCUGGCCCAGCUCAACAGUGAGGACUCGCAGCCUGUUUGCGAAACUCUUUACCAUCCAGAUUUGUUGGUGGGUCAAAAGCAGCUUUUGCUUCCACCUCCUAACAUGGCCAAGAAGAGCAACAGACUCACAAACUCAACAACCAGUGCCUCAUUGAGUCGCAACCCUUUGCCGGACUUCGCCGAGGGAUCCCAGAAAGCCACCUGGCCUGUUCCCUCCAGCACUGAGACAAUGGCCAAGGCCCAGUCGCAGGGGCCUAGCAAAGCCCCGCCCGGGCUGGACAACAUAGAUUAUGUACGCAAAGCCAAGGUUCGGAUCAGCGUACCACGCAAACCUUUCAUGGAGAACUCUACCAGGAAGGUUAGUGUUUCUGCAAGCUCCCCUCUAGUCCAGGAGCACGAGUCAACUGCUUCACUGGUCAGUGAGGACCUGGUCGCCACCACUAACACAGCUUCCUCCAUCAGCUCCUUGGCUUCUGAAAAAAGAGUGGAGACCCCUAAAAGAGUGGUACCCACUGGCCCUGGCCCUGAGGUAGGGUCACCGAGGGCAGUGCCACACAAAUUACACUUUCCUGCAGCUGCCGGCAGUGAAACCUUGCUCACCAUGAGUGCCCUUGGAGCCGAAGCUUCUGCUGCUGACAAAAAGGAGGAGGAAGAGCACAACUACUCGUUCUUAACCAGGGCCAGGCUGGCAGGGAAAGCAACUGCUGACAUGGAAGAAGAGGAAGAGGAGGAAGAUGAAGGGGAAGAUGAGGAAGAAGAGGAAGAAGAGGAGGAGGCGCUGGACCUUGAUGAUGAAGACCACGAUGAAGGGUUCGGCAGUGAACACGAGCUCUCCGAAAAUGACGAGGAAGAGGACGAGGAUGAUGAGGACUAUGAGGGUGACAAAGACGAUUAUGUUAGCGAUGCAUUCUCAGAGCCAGGAUGUGACACUGAUAUGGCAGAAGAUGUCAAAAGCCUUACACCUGGGAUUUCCCGGAAAAGGGGUAAGCGUCGAUACUUUUGGGAGUACAGCGAGCAGCUGAUUCCAUGCAAACAAGAGCGCAUGCUCAAACCCUCCGAGUGGGACAGAGACACUCUGCCCAGCAACAUGUACCAAAAGAAUGGCUUGCACCAUGGAAAAUACACAUUGAAGAAAUCACGGCGGACGGAUGUGGAAGAUCUUACUCCAAACCCACGAAAGCUGCUCCAGAUUGGCAGUGAACUUCGGAAGCUCAAUAAAGUCAUUAGUGACCUGACGCCUGUUAGUGAGCUGCCCUUGACUGCUCGCCCUCGCUCUCGAAAGGAGAAGAACAAGCUUGCAUCCAGGGCCUGCAGACUGAAGAAGAAAGCUCAGUAUGAGGCUAACAAGGUCAAGUUAUGGGGACUUGGCACUGAAUACGAUCGAUUGCUGUUUGUGAUCAAUGCAAUCAAAGAGGAAAUAGUCAACAGAGUUCAGGAUACCUCACAUGACAAAGGAACAAGCAUGACCGAGAAGCUGGACAAACUCAUCGAGGAAACUCUUGUGCAGCCACCAGUGGCCGGCCAGACUUCAGACUUCGUGAAUCAGAUCCUGGAUAACACUGGCAAAGGGGAUCCCACCGGAGGCCUGGUGGGGUUGCGUGUGCCAACAUCGAAGGUGUAGAGUCGAGCCGACAGGCACCUCGGAGCACACACAAAGCCAUCUGCGCCAUUCUUGUCCCACACUGUAACGGCCCAAAUCUCUGCAUGUCCAUGUCACUUGGAGACGAAUCCUCACAUGAAUAAGAAGAUUCUGAAGUGUUUUGAGAGCACUUACCCUGCAAAGAAAUUUCUUUGUUGUUUAAAGAGGCACGGUCAGUUCAAAUUCUCAUCCCAAAAAGUUUUUAAUACGAAAAUUAAAUACAGUUAUAGCCCCAAACCGUAAAGUUAGUGGGGUGUUACUUUCGCAGGUCACAAGUGUAAACAUCUGGAAGGGAUAGCUUUACCUUGUCGACAUAUUUUUCUGGCUGCUGCGAUGACUUUGGUCAUUCUGAAAAAUCUCCUCCUGGUGCAAUUGUAUAGUUUGCUAAAGGUGUGUUAAAGUGACUUUAUUCUUGAUCCUGAAGUUUGUUGUUCCAAUAUCAUUUUUGAUUAAAGAAGGGAGGAUAUUUUUUCCUUUAACAUCAAAAGAGUUUUGUAAAGAUAUUUUCCUUUAUUUGCUUUUGGUAGCAUAGUAAAAUUUCUAUAUACCGUCCAACGUGUAGUUAUUUCAGUUGUUGUUGUGUGUGUGUGUGUGUUUUUUUUUUUUUUUACAUAGAAAUAAAUUUAGAUUUAUUUUAAAUAUUGAAUAUAUAUAUGUAUGUAUAUAUAUAUAUAUAUAUAUAUAUAUAUAUAUAUAUAUAUAUAUAUAUAUAUAUAUGUAUAUAUAUAUGUAUAUGUAUAUGUAUGUAAAGAAAGUUCUAUAUUACAUGGAAAAAAGCAUAAGCACUUUGUCUAGACAAAAAAAGAAAGAAAAAAAAAAAGAAAAAAAAAGCUUUUCCCCACUUCCAGUUGCUGCUAAACUGACCUCGUUUGAAUGCUGCAGUGUGUACUUGACUUUGACCAUCUUGACCAGGGCAGUGUGACCGAGUGGUGUUGAAUGGAGACAAGUCUUUGUCUCAAUGAGUAGUGAGGACUCUGACGUCGCAAUCUUCAUUUGCCUUCAGUAGACAUUUCCUAUGGAAAAAUACAAAUUCUGCUUUGGAUUUUUCUUCAGGUCGAUGUACAGUGUUGACACUUUCUCUCAUGCUAGAGAUGGGUAUUGUCGUCAUUGAUAUUUUAAAACAAAAUAAAAAAAAUAAAAAACUUCUGAGGUAUUUGAGAAAGUAGCUCAGAAAACAAAAAAUGUAUAUCUAUAUCGCUGUACUGUAAGGCAGUUCCAUAUGCCGUGGGGAAUCAAUUGGACAAAGGUUUUCUUUUUCAUUUUUAAUUCAGCUUUGUUUUUAUCUUUAAAACCCAUCCAUUCUCAAAAAACAGCAAUGCUACAAAGCCAUUUGAUGUGGUUGCUAAGACUGGCCUUUCUUGUGCCAUCUAAAGCUUUCAAAAGCAUUUUGGUGGCAUUAGCCUAAAGUGACCAUUGUUCUGUAUAAUAACUUGAUGGCAAGUGACAAUGAGCAUAUGGAGAUGGAAAUGCAUGUUGUCCUUCUGUUGGCAGCCUGCUGUAUUGAGAGCAUUUGUUAGUUAUUGUAGAAUGCUGUUGCAAGCUCUGACAUUCAACAUGGUAGUGAGCUGUGCAUGUAGUGUUUAACCAGGGGACUCUGUGGCAUUCAAGCAGUUAAGGAAAAGGUUGCUAUUUAAAGCCAGUAUUUUUUAUCUGUUUUUCUUUUUUUGCUGAUCAUGUUUAUAUAAAGAUAUUUAAAAACACAUGUACACACACGUACACGCACAUUUAUAAAGGUGUGUUUGUUUAGCUAAAUAUAGCUUGAUUUAACAUUAACAUCCAUAAUAGGCUCUCAACAUCACAUUAGUGUAAUUGACAAAAAGAACGUUAGAAAUGCUAAUGACGAUUAUUUUCUAAUGCUUUGGAAUAUAUUUCUGCCUUCAAAAACACAGAUCGAUGCAUUGAUUUAAGCUUAUUUUGGUGUUUAAUUUUAAAAUGAACAUUUACAAAUACCAGUUCACAAACAGUACAAAUCUGUUACAUAACUAUUAUUUAACAUCUAAUAUUUUUCACUGUUGUUUCUUGCAUAGUCCAGCAUUUUAUAUCAUAAUACUUUUUCGAAGGGAAAUAAUGUAGCUUUCUAUUUCUGAAAUAUUUGCGUGGUCUUUUGGUUUGAUUAUUGCAUUUACAUUUGCUUAUUAUUAUGGAUUCUGCACAUUAUUAUUUAGAGACACUCAAACCAUGAUAUGAUAUUUCUCUUAAAAUACAUCAAAUUUAUACUGAAAAACAAAGAGUAAGCUAGCUAUUAAAUCCAUUCUUUGAUUGUUUUUAUUGUUUGCAUAUUGUUGAUAAUUCAAUAAUUUUGGAUGCAAAGCUGCUAAAUCUUUGUAAAAUUGUAUAGAGAAUCAGACACCAUUCCCUGUUAUUUUUAGCAUAUGCAUUCACAACUCACAAGCUACAAGCAACGCUUAUUUGAACUAUUAUUUAUCAAAAGAUGCCACUAUCUGUAUACCCCAAAUUCAUCCAAUAUAGUUAGAUUUCAAUGGGUAACUUGCUUUCAAUGUUUCCAAAAAUUACAGUAUAUAUCCAAAAGGAGGCAAACAAGCAUUUAUACCUUUCCUUGUUAGUUAUAUGGAUAAAGUAUGCAUCUUUGUGUAGAAAUGUGUUCGAUGUAAAUAAGAAAGAUUACUCUUAUUGGUGCACUAUGCAGGUUUUACUCUGUAGUAAGACAGGAUGUUGCUUAGUUUACAGCACUGCUAUUUUUUGUAACAAUUGUGCCUGAUUGAUGAUUGGUAUUGUACAAGUGGAUUUUAAAAUUUGUUCUUAUAGAUGGUCAUAGUCAACAUGGUGACUAAGCUGAGAAAUCUUUAGAUCUUGCGUAACGUUGAUUUGAGGUUAAGGUUGAACUAAAGAAAUGCAUUCCUUCAUGUCAUAACUCUAAAUUUAACUUUUGCUUGUAAAUGUUCCAUUUACACAUCUGUAUGCCUCACUUGAUCCCUUUUCAUAGUAAUAUUUGAAACCAUUAAUGGAGCACCGUGGAGUUUGCAUAUACACGGCAUGACUAUCGUGCAUGCUAAACCUCGCUAAAUUGAUAUUGUAAAGUGUAACUGACUAUUCACGGAGCUUCUGCGAUGGACUUUGAGGCAGAAGAAUUCUUUAUUCGAACCAAUGAGCACAAGUGGGAAAACUUUGUUGUACACAUACUUUGAUGUAAUCUCCAUCACUCUCCGUACUGUCUGCUAGUACAAAAAGCUGAAAUGACACGCAUUGCACUUGAUUUUACAAAAAAAAUGUCCAAUGUUAUUUUUGAAACGAUGCCUGCAGAAUCAGGUGCCUUAUUCAAACAUGAAAAUCCAAACUUGACCUAUUGACCUUUUUUAUGGCAACGAGAUUUUCACCCAAUAUGCCAAGAAAUUAAAACACGAGUUUCCUCUCUUUUUUCUGCUGUGUCGAGCAUUGAGCUUGCUUCAGAUGAAAACUGUAGCUGCUUUGCCCUCAUACAGUUUUCAUUUAAAGAUGAAUGUAGUCUUCCUUCAGUGGAGUUCAAUAUGAUUAAACAAGUCAAUACAUAGAGACAAUGUCCCAUUUGUUUUGGUUGAGAGACUAUCCAAAGAGUGCUGCAAUCAUAGACUUCUUUUUAAAUGUUAAUAUCUUCAAUAUCUAUAUCUACAUAUGUGUACUGUUUUCUUUUUGUCUUGAGAUUUCUUUUGUAUUUAUGCUCAAAACAGUAGGUUCUUGCACAAGUUUUGAAUUGUUUUGUUCAUUGUUUUUACCUUGUACUUGCCAUACAUCCUUUCCUUGGUUCCUCAACAGUGAUGUUUAUUAGUAGAAGCAGGUUAUUCCAUUUUAACAUGAUGCUUUGUAACUUUUAUCUGAGAUAACUGAUACCUAGUGGCGCAUAAGGAGCCCUCAGUGUAGAAGAUUCUUUGCAAAGGCAAUGUCAAACCUGUCAAUAUUGUGUCCCCUCACCAAUGCUCAAGAUUAUUGUGCCUCCUGAUUCUUCUGGUUCUACUGUUCCUCAGAUUGCUGGCUAUGACUUUUCUUGGAGCAGAGUCACUCACCAACAAACAGAAAUGGCCUUCAGCAGUUGUUCUCCCAUGAACAUAAUCAAGGUUUUCCAAAAACACACGAAAACGACACAAACAGAGGUGCGCAUUGUUCAGCU